UACAGAGGUCUCAACCGUUGUUCGGAUUCAUUGGGCGUAAAGGGUGCGUAGGCUGCGGGGUAAGUCAGGUGUGAAAUCUCGGGGCUCAACCCCGAAACUGCACUUGAUACUGCUUUGCUUGAGUACUGGAGAGGAGACUGGAAUUUACGGUGUAGCAGUGAAAUGCGUAGAUAUCGUAAGGAAGACCAGUGGCGAAGGCGAGUCUCUGGACAGUUACUGACGCUGAGGCACGAAGGCCAGGGGAGCAAACGGG
rnacentral:rRNA from 1 species